GAUGAACGCUGGCUACAGGCUUAACACAUGCAAGUCGAGGGGAAACGCCGGGGAAGCUUGCUUCCCCGGGCGUCGACCGGCGCACGGGUGAGUAACGCGUAUCCAACCUGCCUCUGACUGAGGGAUAACCCGUCGAAAGUCGGCCUAAUACCUCAUGGCAUCGUCUGCGGGCAUCCAACGACGAUUAAAGAUUUCAUCGGUCAGGGAUGGGGAUGCGUCUGAUUAGCUUGUUGGCGGGGUAACGGCCCACCAAGGCUACGAUCAGUAGGGGUUCUGAGAGGAAGGUCCCCCACAUUGGAACUGAGACACGGUCCAAACUCCUACGGGAGGCAGCAGUGAGGAAUAUUGGUCAAUGGGCGGGAGCCUGAACCAGCCAAGUAGCGUGCAGGAUGACGGCCCUAUGGGUUGUAAACUGCUUUUAUGCGGGGAUAAAGUGAGGGACGUGUCCUUCAUUGCAGGUACCGCAUGAAUAAGGACCGGCUAAUUCCGUG
rnacentral:rRNA from 1 species